rnacentral:rRNA from 1 species
CGAGUUUGAUCAUGGCUCAGAUUGAACGCUGGCGGCAUGCCUUACACAUGCAAGUCGAACGGUAGCGGGCCUUCGGGUGCCGACGAGUGGCGAACGGGUGAGUAAUGUAUCGGAACGUACCAUUGAGUGGGGGAUAACGUAGCGAAAGUUACGCUAAUACCGCAUAUUCUCUCCGGAGGAAAGCAGGGGACCGCAAGGCCUUGCGCUCUUUGAGCGGCCGAUAUCAGAUUAGGCUAGUUGGUGAGGUAAAGGCUCACCAAGGCGACGAUCUGUAGCGGGUCUGAGAGGAUGAUCCGCCACACUGGAACUGAGACACGGUCCAGAACUCCUACGGGAGGCAGCAGUGGGGAAUUUUGGACAAUGGGGGCAACCCUGAUCCAGCCACUGCCGCGUGAGUGAAGAAGGCCUUCGGGUUGUAAAGCUCUUUCGGCCGGGAAGAAAUCGCAUGGGUUAAUACCCUGUGCGGAUGACGGUACCGGCAUAAGAAGCACCGGCUAACUACGUG